AUGGGUCAUAGAACCGAGUGGUGUAAAGACCCCGCCACACCUGUGUGUUGGGCACUCGGCUUCAAGUUGUCAGCUCUCGCCUCAAGGACUCCACCCUCUGUCCCCAGUCACUCUGACACCCAGAAUGUUUGGGUGGCAGCUGGUGGACUCAGCUCUGUGCUGGGAUUCCUCCUCCAGAGUCUGUGCCGGCUGGCCCAGACCCUCAGGGGCGCCCAGCUCUGGGCCUGGCUGGCCUGCCUCCUGCUUGCUUCCCUGGCUCAGCACCAGGCCCCGAGCCCGCGGGCCCUCCCAGCCCACCCUGCAGCGCACGCGUUGAGCUCCGAGACACUCCUCCCCUUUCCAGAUGCAGACUUUUUGUUUUUUUCUUUUCCAUUAUGUUCUUUUAAUUGUUCUUUAACUUGCAGCCCAUGGGAUCUUCACUGCGGUGUGGGAAUCUACAGUCGCGGCAGGCAGGACCUAGCUCUCCAACCAGGGAUGACACCUGGGUCCCUGCUUCGGGACGGCGGAGUCUUAACCCCCAGACCACCAGGGAGGCCCCUCCGCUGUGGUUCAGUGGAAGGAGCUGAGUAUAGUUUUCUGUGCUACGGGGCAGACCCUUAUCGCUCACCCACUCUGUAAUAGUUCACCUCUACUGAUCCCAAACUGCCCCCCCUCCCUCCCCCCCCCGCCCCCCCCCCCCCCCCCCCCCCC
rnacentral:lncRNA from 1 species